UACGUAGGUGACAAGCGUUGUCCGGAUUUACUGGGCGUAAAGGGCGCGUAGGCGGCCAGCGCAAGUCAGUUGUGAAAUCUCCGGGCUUAACUCGGAACGGUCAACUGAUACUGCGCGGCUAGAGUGCAGAAGGGGCAACUGGAAUUCUCGGUGUAGCGGUGAAAUGCGUAGAUAUCGAGAGGAACACCUGCGGCGAAGGCGGGUUGCUGGGCUGACACUGACGCUGAUGCGCGAAAGCCAGGGGAGCGAACAGG
rnacentral:rRNA from 1 species